CAAUGGGUCAUUGCUAGGAGCACCCGUGAGUGGCAGACUGUAGAGAAAGUGGCAGUCAUGUACCGAUGUGAGAGUUAAACCACAAAGAAGGCUGAGUGCUAAAGAAUUGAUGCUUUCAAAUUGUGGUGCUGGAGAAGACUCUUUAGAGUCCCUUGGACUGCAAGAAGAUCAAACCAGUCAAUUCUAAAGGAAAUCAGUCCUGAAUAUUCAUUGGAAGGACUAAUGCUGAAGCUGAAGUGCCAAUACUUUGGCCACCUGAUGUGAAGAGCUGACAUUGGAAAAGAUCCUGAUGUUGGGAAGGAUUGAAGAAGAAAGGAUAAGGGGGUGACAGAGGAUGAGAUGGUUAGGUAGCAUCACCAACUCAAUGGACAUGAAUUUGAGCAAACAAUGGGAGAUAAUGGAGUCUAAUGUGCCGCAGUCCAUGGUGUUGCAAAGACUCUCACAUGACUUAGCGACUGAACAACAACAACAAAUUCUAACAAAAUUUUCAGACGGGAUUUAAUGAAUAGCUAGUUUGGGAAAUCACUUGUCACUACUGAAUUUAUUACACUUGUAGUUUUACAUUAAUUAUAUGUGGAUGAAUGUCUGUCUCCUCUGCAAGAUCCUGAGCCUUAUGAACAUGAGAAUGUGUCCACUCACUGUGCUGUUGUGCUCAGUCACUCAGUCGUGUCCGACUCUGCAACCCCAUGGACUGUAACCCCCCAGGCUCCGCUGUCCAUGGAAUUUUCCAGACAAGCAUACUGGAGAGGGUUACCAUCUCCUCUCCAGGGGAUCUUCCCCACCCAGGAAUUGAAUCCAUGUUUCUUGUAUCUCCGCCCUUAGCAAGUGAAUUUUUUACCACUGAGGCGCCCGGAAAGCCCAUACUGUGUUCAGUAUGUAUCCAGCACAUACUGCAUGUUAAUACUGUAUGUUUGUGGGGAAAAAAUGAACCUCCUGCAACAGGAUGUGACAGUGAGGUUUUCUCAGUCAACCAGCAGGUGGCGCAAGAGGCUAGGCCACGGUUAAGAAUUACAAACCCAUGUUUCAGUUCAUUUCGGUCAUGGGUGGGUUUACAUUUUUUUAAAAAUUGCUUUUUACGAACAGUUUCCUAAAUUUAUGGAAUACCUUCUGUGCACAAUACAUUAAAAUCCUCUUGGAGAUCCUUUUAAAAUUCAGUUAAAAAUGGAACUGUUAGAUCAAUACCCCUAGAAGAGGAAUGAAUUUCUGUUCUCUGACAAUCUCCUUUAAGCACUUUAGAAAAGUACAUGGUAUAUUUAAAAAAUAAAAACAUGAUGGUACUGCUUGCACCUUUUUAGGCCUCUUUGCUUCCUUCUGUAAAGUGGAGGAGAAAAGACGGUUUCCAAAGUCACUUUCUUAGCAUAUGCAGGGAUCGUGGG
ensembl:lncRNA